UACGUAGGGGGCUAGCGUUGUCCGGAUUUAUUGGGCGUAAAGAGCGUGUAGGCGGCCAUGUAGGUCUGCUGUGAAAACUCGAGGCUCAACCUCGAGACGUCGGCGGAAACCAUCUGGCUAGAGUCCGGAAGAGGAGAGUGGAAUUCCUGGUGUAGCGGUGAAAUGCGCAGAUAUCAGGAGGAACACCGGUGGCGAAGGCGGUUCUCUGGGCAUGUCCUGACGCUGAGGAGCGAAAGUGUGGGGAGCGAACAGG
rnacentral:rRNA from 1 species